rnacentral:rRNA from 1 species
GUCUUUUUGAGAAUAAUUUAAAGUCAGGCCUGCCCACUGAAUUUUGAAUGGCCGCAGUAUUUUGACUGUGCAAAGGUAGCAUAAUCAUUAGUUUUUUAAUUGAAAGCUAGAAUGAAAGGUUAAAUGAAAAAAUAACUGUCUCUAUUUAAUUUUAUUAGAAUUUUAUUUUUAAGUUAAAAAGCUUAAAUUUUAUUUAUAGACGAGAAGACCCUAUAGAGUUUGAUUUAUGUAUGCAUUAAUUUUAUUAGUAUUAUUUUUAUAUGUAUGUAUAUAUAAAUUUGGUUGGGGUGAUUUAAAAAUUUAAUUAACUUUUUAUAUUAUUAAACAUUAAUUUAUGGUUAAAUGAUCCUAAAUAUUAGAUUAAAAGAUAAAUUACCUUAGGGAUAACAGCGUAAUUUUUUUAAAGAGUUCAAAUCGAAAAAAGAGAUUGCGACCUCGAUGUUGGAUUAAAGAUAGUGUUUGGUGUAGAAGCUAAAAAACUGAGUCUGUUCGACUCUUAAAUCUUUACAUGAUCUGAGUUUAAACCGGUGUAAGCCAGGUUGGUUUCUAUCUUAAAUAUUUUAAUAUACUUUAGUACGAAAGGACCAAGUAUAUAAUUAAUAAUUUAAUUUAUAAAUAUUAUUUUGGCAGAUUAGUGCAAUUGAUUUAGAAUCUUUAAAUAUGAUUAUUCAUAAAUAAUAUUGACUUUAAAAGAUACUUUAUUAUUUUUAGUUUCUUUAUUAAUUUUAUUAGUUAUAGUUUUAAUUAGAGUAGCUUAUUUAACAUUAUUGGAACGUAAGGUU